rnacentral:SRP_RNA from 1 species
GCUGGGCAUGGUGGCUCAUGCCUGUAAUCCCAGCACUUUGGGAGGCUGAGGCGGGUGGAUCACUUGAGGCCAGGAGUUCAAGACCAGCCUGGCCAACAUGGUGAGACCCUGUCUCUA